UACGUAGGGGGCAAGCGUUGUCCGGAAUUAUUGGGCGUAAAGCGCGCGCAGGCGGUCCCUUAAGUCUGUUGUGAAAGCCCACGGCUCAACCGUGGAGGGUCAUUGGAAACUGGGGGACUUGAGUACAGAAGAGGAAAGCGGAAUUCCACGUGUAGCGGUGAAAUGCGUAGAGAUGUGGAGGAACACCAGUGGCGAAGGCGGCUUUCUGGUCUGUAACUGACGCUGAGGCGCGAAAGCGUGGGGAGCAAACAGG
rnacentral:rRNA from 1 species